CCCUUAGAUGUCCUGGGCUGCACGCGCGCUACACUGACACGUUCAACGAGUUUUGCCUGCUCCGAUGGGACUGGGUAAUCUUAUGAAAGCGUGUCGUGAUGGGGAUAGAUUAUUGCAAUUAUUAAUCUUCAACGAGGAAUUCCUAGUAAGUACAAGUCAUCAGCUUGUGCUGAUUACGUCCCUGCCCUUUGUACACACCGCCCGUCGCUCCUACCGAUUGGGUGUGCUGGUGAAAUGUUCGGAUCGGCCGUUUGUCGCGGUUUCCGCGUCAUGUGGCUGAGAAGUUCAUUAAACCCUCCCACCUAGAGGAAGGAGAAGUCGUAACA
rnacentral:rRNA from 1 species